rnacentral:rRNA from 1 species
GACGAACGCUGGCGGCGUGCCUAAUACAUGCAAGUAGAACGCUGAAGAGAGGAGCUUACUCUUCUUGGAUGAGUUGCGAACGGGUGAGUAACGCGUAGGUAACCUGCCUUGUAGCGGGGGAUAACUAUUGGAAACGAUAGCUAAUACCGCAUAACAAUGGAUGACACAUGUCAUUUAUUUGAAAGGGGCAAUUGCUCCACUACAAGAUGGACCUGCGUUGUAUUAGCUAGUAGGUGAGGUAAUGGCUCACCUAGGCGACGAUACAUAGCCGACCUGAGAGGGUGAUCGGCCACACUGGGACUGAGACACGGCCCAGACUCCUACGGGAGGCAGCAGUAGGGAAUCUUCGGCAAUGGGGGCAACCCUGACCGAGCAACGCCGCGUGAGUGAAGAAGGUUUUCGGAUCGUAAAGCUCUGUUGUAAGUCAAGAACGGGUGUGAGAGUGGAAAGUUCACACUGUGACGGUAGCUUACCAGAAAGGGACGGCUAACUACGUGCCAGCAGCCGCGGUAAUACGUAGGUCCCGAGCGUUGUCCGGAUUUAUUGGGCGUAAAGCGAGCGCAGGCGGUUUGAUAAGUCUGAAGUUAAAGGCUGUGGCUCAACCAUAGUUCGCUUUGGAAACUGUCAAACUUGAGUGCAGAAGGGGAGAGUGGAAUUCCAUGUGUAGCGGUGAAAUGCGUAGAUAUAUGGAGGAACACCGGUGGCGAAAGCGGCUCUCUGGUCUGUAACUGACGCUGAGGCUCGAAAGCGUGGGGAGCGAACAGGAUUAGAUACCCUGGUAGUCCACGCCGUAAACGAUGAGUGCUAGGUGUUGGAUCCUUUCCGGGAUUCAGUGCCGCAGCUAACGCAUUAAGCACUCCGCCUGGGGAGUACGACCGCAAGGUUGAAACUCAAAGGAAUUGACGGGGGCCCGCACAAGCGGUGGAGCAUGUGGUUUAAUUCGAAGCAACGCGAAGAACCUUACCAGGUCUUGACAUCCCGAUGCUAUUUCUAGAGAUAGAAAGUUACUUCGGUACAUCGGUGACAGGUGGUGCAUGGUUGUCGUCAGCUCGUGUCGUGAGAUGUUGGGUUAAGUCCCGCAACGAGCGCAACCCCUAUUGUUAGUUGCCAUCAUUCAGUUGGGCACUCUAGCGAGACUGCCGGUAAUAAACCGGAGGAAGGUGGGGAUGACGUCAAAUCAUCAUGCCCCUUAUGACCUGGGCUACACACGUGCUACAAUGGUUGGUACAACGAGUUGCGAGUCGGUGACGGCGAGCUAAUCUCUUAAAGCCAAUCUCAGUUCGGAUUGUAGGCUGCAACUCGCCUACAUGAAGUCGGAAUCGCUAGUAAUCGCGGAUCAGCACGCCGCGGUGAAUACGUUCCCGGGCCU